CAGGGUUUGACAUGCCUGUGCACCACCCAGAGAUGGGUGUACCCGCAAGGGACGCAGGCACAGGCGCUGCAUGGCUGUCGUCAGCUCGUGCCGCGAGGUGUUGGGUUAAGUCCCGCAACGAGCGCAACCCCUGUCGUCGGUUGGAGAUGUCCGACGAGACUGCCCCGAUCAACGAGGAGGAAGGUGGGGAUGACGUCAAGUCAGCACGGCCCUGACGUCCUGGGCGACACACACGCUACAAUGGCCGCCACAAUGGGUUGCCAACCCGCGAGGGGGAGCCAAUCCCAGCAAAGGCGGUCUCAGUUCAGAUUGCAGGCUGCAACUCGCCUGCAUGAAGUCGGAGUUGCUAGUAACCGUGGGUCAGCGCACCACGGUGAAUACGUUCCC
rnacentral:rRNA from 1 species